CUGCCCGGCCGCCCCCGAGGCCCGCGGCUGGGGCUGGCGAGCUCCCCCGCCGCGCCCGGGGCUUGGCGCUCCCUGGGGGCCGCUACCUGUGCGGCCCCCAGCACUCGGAAGAAGCAGCGACAGGCAGGGACAGGCACACGCGCACCCCGACAGACAGGCUCAGACUUCUGCGGAGACGCGCCCGUCCAGCGCACCCCCCAAGCACACUCGUGCGCGCGCACACAGAAGCCCACGCGCACAAAGUCACCCCUGCCCAGCGGAGGCCGGGCCAGAAAGCCAACACAGGAGCGCCCAGAGCACAGAACCAGGUAAACAGGACGCUGAGCGCUCACGUGGAGGCAGGCAGAGAGCCACAGACUCGGACGACCCCCUCCAGUGUUGCUCUCAGAUUUCUAGAAUAUACUGUUAUGGCCACAGAGUUCUUCCUCAUGACUACCCUUCUCUGGUGAAGAAGCUGAAAUACAAUUUAACCAAACCUGAAACUGAAAAGAAGACGAGAAGACCUGGGGCGAGCUGAAAUUUCAAAGGCUUAAGUUGAAAGAGAAUGUUCCUGGGGGGUGGGGGUGGGAGGGUGGCCCGGAAUAUUAGACUCACAAAAAACCAAUAGGGAGAGAAAAGCAUUAUCAAGGAAUUAGAAUAGACAAAAGAGGAAAAGUGAACCGAAAUAUUUUUGAGGAUAAACUGGAUCCUAAAAUGGAAACAAUGAAUUGAAAGGCAGGGUUUAAAAAAAAAAAAAAAAAGCUGGUGCAACCAACAAAUCCGUUUUGAUCGCCCGCCACGGACGGACGGCACUGUGGGUUCCCUGACCCGCUGAGAUCCCGGCCUCGGUGGGGCGGGUUGGCGGCCUGGCGGCCAGUCGGGCAGUUGGCACCGAGCAAGAGCACGGAUCCGCUUCUCCGAGCUCUUGUUGGACGUGCUCUCCUGAUGGACGCGGCACUUAUUUGCCAAGUGCAGCAGCGUGUGAUGUGCCCCGUCUGGCAUAACAAAGAUGUUGGCCUCCGCCUCUGAGGUUCCCAGUGCAGAGAGUGGAACCGGCCGCGUCGGGGAGGCCGGGAGGGGAGAGACCUAAGGCCUUGCUUCCUGGUUCUGAUUACAGGAAAGUGGGGGAGAGCCGGGUAAACACAGCAGCCCGGAGGGUUGCUGAGAGGGAAGGAGAGGGACGUAGGGCAGAGGCGCCCAGCUGACAUACCGAUGCGCUGAGGGAAGGGAGGGCCGGUGGCGGCCCACCUGCUCGCCCAGGCCCUCAGAUCCCCAGAGUCCUACACCGAGGAGGGGCCCAAGGCCCACAGGCGGGCAGGGGCUCACCCAACGUCACACAACCAGUCGGAGGCAGUGCUGGCAGCGGAAUCCAGGACUCUUCCCAUUGCCCCAUCCUGCCACACUGAAGGGACAGCCCAGUGGUUAAUUAAAUGCAGAAUGUUCUGGAGUCAGGCUGACCUGGGUCUGUACCCUGCUUCUGCCACUUGCUGGUGGUCUUGUGAUCCUGGGCAAGUUUCUCUCUUCACCUGGAUGUCUCUAUCUGUAAAAUGGGGACCGUGAUUGUCAUUACUGGGAUGGCUUCCCUCCACCACAGCCAUCCUCGCUUCCUUCCCUCCUGUGUGUGCCAUUGCCCCAUCAAAAGGUGGCGUUUAUCUUUCACCCUCUUGGAUCUGGUCUGACUUGUGACUACUGCGACCGGCGACUACAGUCGACGUGACCCUGUGGCAGUUCCAGAGCAAGUCUUUGUAAGGACUGGCAACUUCUGCCCGUGUCUCCUGAGUUACCUGCUCUGGAAGAAGAACUCCACUGAAUACAUGAGCCAAAGACGGCCAUGCAGAGAGGCAGCUCAAGCAGGCUGGGAGGUGGAGAGGCUGCGAGGAGAGAGAUGCUUCUGCCCCUCUUCCAACUAUUCCAGUGUAGCCUCAGCCUUUGGAUGACUCCAGCCUCAGGCCCCUGGGACUGCAGAUGCAUGAGAAGCUCCAAGCAAAACCUACCUAGCUGAGCCCCUUCCACAGUCAAAAGAGGUAAUCGUACAUUGAUGUUUUUUAAGCCACAAAGGUUUAGGGGAUGCUUGUUACACAGCAGCGAUAAGGGGACCACGUGCUUACUGAGGCUAUUCGUGGAUCCAUGAGACAAUUAUGUAGAAUAGAAGUGGAGACACAUGAAAUAUGAAUAAACGGUAGCUUUUUA